rnacentral:rRNA from 1 species
UACAGAGGGAUGCUACCGGGCGACCGGAUGCGGAUCUCGAAAGCCUGUCCCAGUUCGGACUGGAGUCUGCAACCCGACUCCACGAAGUUGGAUUCGCUAGUAAUCGCGCAUCAGCCAUGGCGCGGUGAAUACGUUCCCGGGUCUUGUACACACCGCCCGUCACACCACGGAAGUUGGGGCGCCCGAAGUCUGUGACCGAACCGAAAGGAAGGAGCAGCCGAAGGCAGGUCGGAUGACUGGGGUGAAGUCGUAACAAGGUACC